ACAGCCAUGUCACAUUGAAGCACUACUUCUUGUAUGAUCACUGAAGUUAAGUAACAUUGAGACUGGUCAGUACCUGGAUUGGUGACUGCUUGGGAACACUCAGUGCUGAAAG